rnacentral:rRNA from 1 species
GUGAGGAAUUUUCCGCAAUGGGCGAAAGCCUGACGGAGCAAUGCCGCGUGAAGGAUGAAGGCCUAUGGGUUGUAAACUUCUUUUCUCAGAAAAGAAUUAUGACGGUAUCUGAGGAAUAAGCAUCGGCUAACUCUGUGCCAGCAGCCGCGUUAAGACAGAGGAUGCAAGCGUUAUCCGGAAUGAUUGGGCGUAAAGCGUCUGUAGGUUGUUUAAAAAGUAUUCUGUCAAAGAUUAGGGCUUAACCCUAGAUAGGCAGAAUAAACUUUUAAGCUAGAGUUUGGUAGAGGCAGAGGGAAUUCCCGGUGGAGCGGUGAAAUGCGUAGAUAUCGGGAGGAACACCAAAGGCGAAGGCACUCUGCUGGGCCAAUACUAACACUGAGAGACGAAAGCGAGGGGAGCAAAUGGGAUUAGAACCCCCGGUAGUCC